CGAAACGUUUAAAACGUCAUCACCAUCUUUAAACAAUCAUUACCUAUAAGAGAAGGUUUUAAUCACCAUAAUAACCCCCAGCAGCAGUACAGCAUGGACAGAUCCAGCUGAAGGCUGGCACCUUCCUGAUGUUUCGGCUAAUAAGCUACAGGAGAAGCUAGCCUGAAGAACUCCCAUAUCCUUUCCUGCAAGACUGAAGCACACUUAAGUAAUUCUGAGCAAAACACACCAAAUGCUUGUGGCUGCAGCUGCAAGAUCUGUGCUUGUAAGCAUGCAGCUUGUCAGGUAUCAUGCAUCUCAUGCAAAGUAGGUUAGAAAUAACUUAUCUUCAGUGACAGGCAAAACUGAGCAUGGUUAAGGAGUGAGAGUGCACAGAAAAUACAGAUGUUAGGAUUGGAACAUGAUGCAGCCAGACUGGUUGCUGUGGGAAGGCAGCAAGGCAGCCAGGUAGAGACUGCUUUUCCAUGGUAACAACCAAUAUUGCAUGCAUUUCUUGAGGUGAGCCAACAACCGUUUUCCCCCCCCUGCAUGGUAUGAC
rnacentral:lncRNA from 1 species